GAGGUAUAAAAACGCAAAGGCUUGGUCUCCUGUUUCAUUCACGUUUUCUCUACCAAGAAGAACAGAAUCCCCUCCAUCAUGAAGAAACUGUGCGUCGCAGUUGUCGGAGUUUUGCUGCUGGCUUUCCAUCUCACAUCACAGGUGGCCCUGGUGAAUAACGGCACUAAUCCGGACAACACAAACGUCACCACCCCGAGCUCCACGGGGGCUGGUUGUGGGACUACCGCCGCCUUCAUGGUGCUGCUCCCCCCGCUGGCUCUGACCGCUCUUCUCCUCCACCGGUCCUGAUUGAGUGGACUGACCGCGCUGGACACAAAAGCCAGCACAGGUUACACUGUGGAUCCAGUGCUGGCUUAGUCUAAAUACACUAAUCUCUCAAUCCACCCACCCACCCACCCAAAAACAGCCAAAAACGCGUUUUGGAAUUAAAUUUCAAGUGCUGGGUGGGAAAACUUGUCUUAAAAGGCGACGCUCACUUGCAUUCUGCUCUAUCCUCUGUACUGGCUCUGCAAGGACUCUGAAUACUUUGGCACCACACCGGCCCUUUUACUCCUGCGUGCAGUGGGAGAACACCUCAGACUCGUGUACAGUGACAGUCUUUGAUUCUGGUGUGACUUGAACUGUUUAUUUUUAUGUAGAUUAAAUAAAGCUUUAAAUUGUGAGUCCACA